rnacentral:rRNA from 1 species
UACGUAGGGGGCAAGCGUUGUCCGGAAUCAUUGGGCGUAAAGAGCGUGUAGGCGGCCAGAUAAGUCCGCUGUGAAAUCUCGAGGCUCAACUUCGAGCUGUCGGUGGAAACUGUCUGGCUAGAGUCCGGAAGAGGAGAAUGGAAUUCCUGGUGUAGCGGUGAAAUGCGCAGAUAUCAGGAAGAACACCCGUGGCUAAGGCGGCUCUCUAGUACGGUACUGACGCUGAGACGCGAAAGCGUGGGGAGCGAACAGG